rnacentral:rRNA from 1 species
GACGAACGCUGGCGGCGUGCUUAACACAUGCAAGUCGAGCGGAAAGGCCCUUCGGGGUACUCGAGCGGCGAACGGGUGAGUAACACGUGAGUAACCUGCCCUCAGCUUUGGGAUAACCCUCGGAAACGGGGGCUAAUACCGAAUAUUCACUGCCUGCCGCAUGGUGGGUGGUGGAAAGUUUUUCGGCUGGGGAUGGGCUCGCGGCCUAUCAGCUUGUUGGUGGGGUGAUGGCCUACCAAGGCGACGACGGGUAGCCGGCCUGAGAGGGCGACCGGCCACACUGGGACUGAGACACGGCCCAGACUCCUACGGGAGGCAGCAGUGGGGAAUAUUGCACAAUGGGCGGAAGCCUGAUGCAGCGACGCCGCGUGAGGGAUGACGGCCUUCGGGUUGUAAACCUCUUUCAGCAGGGACGAAGCGAGAGUGACGG